AAAGCUGUGCUAAUACCGCAUACGCCCUGAGGGGGAAAGCAGGGGCUCUUAGGACCUUGCGUUACUGGAGCGGCCGACGUCUGAUUAGCUAGUAGGUGGGGUAAAGGCCUACCUAGGCGAUGAUCAGUAGCUGGUCUGAGAGGAUGAUCAGCCACACUGGGACUGAGACACGGCCCAGACUCCUACGGGAGGCAGCAGUGGGGAAUUUUGGACAAUGGGCGCAAGCCUGAUCCAGCCAUUCCGCGUGAGUGAAGAAGGCCUUCGGGUUGUAAAGCUCUUUCGGCAGGGAAGAAACGGUUACGGCUAAAACCCGUGACUACUGACGGUACCUGAAGAAGAAGCACCGGCUAACUACGUGCCAGCAGCCGCGGUAAUACGUAGGGUGCGAGCGUUAAUCGGAAUUACUGGGCGUAAAGCGUGCGCAGGCGGUUUAUCAAGUCUGAUGUGAAAGCCCCGGGCUUAACCUGGGAACGGCGUUGGAAACUGAUAGACUUGAGUGCGGCAGAGGGGGGUAGAAUUCCACGUGUAGCAGUGAAAUGCGUAGAUAUGUGGAGGAAUACCGAUGGCGAAGGCAGCCCCCUGGGUUGACACUGACGCUCAUGCACGAAAGCGUGGGUAGCAAACAGGAUUAGAUACCCUGGUAGUCCACGCCCUAAACGAUGUCAACUAGUUGUUGGGGAGGGAGACCUCCUUGGUAACGCAGCUAACGCGGGAAGUUGACCGCCUGGGGAGUACGGUCGCAAGAUUAAAACUCAAAGGAAUUGACGG
rnacentral:rRNA from 1 species